AUGGUCAGCGUCACCGAGCUCUGCCCGUUGUCCCUGGAGAUCCUGAACCGGCCCUUGACCGAUGCCCCGCCCGGAUCCGGCGCCUCAUCCCCAUCUCCCCUUGUUCCCGCAGGGCUCCGGGCGGCCGUGACCCUGCUGGAGUGCGGGGGGGACCUCCAGCCCCCCGGGGGGUCCCUGACUCUGCUCUGCCGCGCCUCGGGGUUCAGUUUUGGGAGUCACUGGAUGGCCUGGUUCCGUCAGAGCCCCGGGAAGGGGCUGGAAUUUGCUGCAGGGAUCAACCCCGAUGGUGCAGACACCCGCUACGCGCCGUCAGUCAAGGGCCGCGUCACAAUUUCCAGGGACAACGGGCAGAGCUCGGUGACGCUGACCAUGAACAGCCUCAAGGACGAGGAUUCUGGCGUUUAUUUCUGCGCCAAACAUGCUGCUGGUGGUGCUGGCUGGGCUGUUGCCGCCUUUGUUGAUGGUUUUGUCCCCAUCCCUCUCAUUGUGUCCCCACCCGUCCUCGAAUGUCCCCAGACCCUUCCCCCAGAUCACAACCUUUGUCUCCGACCCUGA